GUCAAUGGCCAUGCCACCCUGAACAAGCCAGAUGUCUGACCUCGAAAGCUAAGCAAGGUCGAGCCUGGUUAGUACUUGGAUGGGAGACCACCUAGGAAGACCAGGUGCUGUAGGCA
rnacentral:rRNA from 1 species